rnacentral:rRNA from 1 species
AGAAUCAACGCUGGCGGCGUGCCUAACACAUGCAAGUCGAACGAGAAAAGGGAGCAAUCCCUGAGUACAGUGGCGACCGGGUGAGUAACACGUGACUAACCUACCCUCGAGUGUGGAAUAACAUCGGGAAACCGAUGCUAAUACCGCAUAACAUCGCAAGAUCAAAGGAGUAAUCCGCUUGAGGAGGGGGUCGCGGCUGAUUAGCUAGUUGGCGGGGUAAUGGCCCACAAGGCGAAGAUCGGUA